ensembl:snRNA U6 U6 spliceosomal RNA
AUGCUCGCUUCAGCACAUAUACUAAAAUUGGAAUGAUAGGAGAUUAGCAAGGCCCCUGCUCAAGGAAGCAGAGAAAGUCUGUUAUCUUAG